GAUGAACGCUGGCGGCGUGCUUAACACAUGCAAGUCGAACGAAGCACUUUAUUUGAUUUCCUUCGGGACUGAUUAUUUUGUGACUGAGUGGCGGACGGGUGAGUAACGCGUGGGUAACCUGCCUUGUACAGGGGGAUAACAGUUGGAAACGGCUGCUAAUACCGCAUAAGCGCACAGUAUCGCAUGAUGCAGUGUGAAAAACUCCGGUGGUAUAAGAUGGACCCGCGUUGGAUUAGCUAGUUGGUGAGGUAACGGCCCACCAAGGCGACGAUCCAUAGCCGACCUGAGAGGGUGACCGGCCACAUUGGGACUGAGACACGGCCCAAACUCCUACGGGAGGCAGCAGUGGGGAAUAUUGCACAAUGGGCGAAAGCCUGAUGCAGCGACGCCGCGUGAGCGAAGAAGUAUUUCGGUAUGUAAAGCUCUAUCAGCAGGGAAGAUAAUGACGGUACCUGACUAAGAAGCACCGGCUAAAUACGUGCCAGCAGCCGCGGUAAUACGUAUGGUGCAAGCGUUAUCCGGAUUUACUGGGUGUAAAGGGAGCGCAGGCGGUGCGGCAAGUCUGAUGUGAAAGCCCGGGGCUCAACCCCGGUACUGCAUUGGAAACUGUCGUACUAGAGUGUCGGAGGGGUAAGCGGAAUUCCUAGUGUAGCGGUGAAAUGCGUAGAUAUUAGGAGGAACACCAGUGGCGAAGGCGGCUUACUGGACGAUAACUGACGCUGAGGCUCGAAAGCGUGGGGAGCAAACAGGAUUAGAUACCCUGGUAGUCCACGCCGUAAACGA
rnacentral:rRNA from 1 species